UUGCCGGCUGCUCGUAUGGGCCCAACCACUCCAAUCUAACAAACCGGGAUUGGCAAGCUUCCUGUUCCCCGGGACAAAAGCAGGCCGCACGCGAUCCACCCGACGCCGACGUUGUGUUGAGGGAGAGGAAAAGGGAGAGAAAGGAGCGAUAGCGAGAAAGAGAAAGCAGGCAUGUCCUUCUCCUUCUUCAAGCCCUCGCGAGGGCGAUCGAGCCCGGCUGAGCUUGUGAAGGCGAUGAGGGAUAGUAUCCUCGCCCUUGAUACGAAGACUGCUGCCAAGGCACUUGAAGAUGUUGAGAAAAAUAUUAUUUCCAUGAGACAAAUGCUAUCUGGUGAUGGGGAAGCUGAGCCAAGUCAGGAACAGAUCUCUCAAAUGGCCCUUGAAAUUUGCAAAGAGGAUGUUCUUUCCCUUUUUGUCCAAAAGUUGCCAUCAUUGGGAUGGGAUGCCAGAAAAGAUUUAGUACAUUGUUGGGGCAUUUUGCUACGACAAAAGGUGGAUUCUACCUAUUGUUGUGUGGAAUAUAUUGAAAACCAUUUAGAUCUCCUGGAUUUUCUUGUUGUUUGUUAUAACAACAAAGAAAUUGCACUGAAUUGCGGCAGCAUGUUGAGGGAAUGCAUUAAAUAUCCAACGCUUGCAAAAUAUGUUCUGGAGUCAACUAGCUUUGAACUAUUCUUCAAGUAUGUGGAAUUGCCAAACUUUGAUAUUGCUUCUGAUGCUCUUUCUACAUUCAAGGACUUGCUCAGUAAACAUGAGACAGAAGUAUCACAAUUCUUGAGUGACCACUAUGAGCAGUUCUUUGAGCUCUAUGAUAAACUUUUGACAUCUUCAAACUAUGUUACCAAAAGACAAUCGUUAAAGCUUCUCUCGGAAUUUCUUUUGGAAGCUCCAAAUUCACAAACAAUGAAACGGUACAUCUUAGAAGUUCGUUACUUGAAGACAUUGAUGGCAUUGCUCAAGGAUUCGAGCAAAAAUGUCCAGAUAUUAGCCUUCCACAUUUUCAAGGUAUUUGUUGCUAAUCCAAACAAGCCACGUGAGAUUAAAGACAUCUUGGCAAAAAAUCAUCAAGAACUGUUGAUGAUACUACAUAAUCUUCCUGUCAGCAAAGGUGAAUCGUAGAAUUGCGUUACGGGUCACUCGUUGCCUCUUACAAGCGAGCUAUUGUACAUCACGAGUUUUGUUAGAUAUCCAUAAGUCACCCACUGUCGUAUGCUGAUGAACGGUAAGUCAGUGUACUCAUUGUAGGAGGAUGUCGACUACAAAGGUGUCAUAGCAUCCACCCUCCAUUGUUGAUUAUCAUUUGUAGACGUAUUGUUGUGCAUACGAUGAGGACGAGCAAUUCGAAGAGGAGAGAGACCUCAUAAUUAAAGAAAUCGAGAAGAAUUCAAGAUUACAAAGCAGCUCUGUUUCCAUCUCCUCAUAGAUUUUUUUAUGAUUGGCAUGAAUUUUAUCUACCUAAUUUCCAGCUUUGUGUAUGAUGAAUUCUUCUCAGCAAUAAUUAGCGAUGGUGAUGGUCUUGCUGCUGAUCGAUGUGACAUUGCAGAAUAAUCAGAAUUGCAUUUAUUAAUAUUAUUAUUGAAGUUCUUAGGCA